GUUUGAUCCUGGCUCAGAAUCAACGCUGGCGGCGCGCUUAACACAUGCAAGUCGGACGAGAAAGGGGAGCAAUCCCUGAGUACAGUGGCGUACGGGUGAGUAACACGUGGGUAAUCUACCUCUUGGUGGGGAAUAACUCUGGGAAACCGGAGCUAAUACCGCAUAACCCUGGGAAGGAAAAGCCGAAAGGCGCCGGGAGAGGAGCCCGCGGCCGAUUAGCUAGUUGGUGAGGUAACGGCUCACCAAGGCAAAGAUCGGUAGCCGGCCUGAGAGGGCACACGGCCACACUGGCACUGAAACACGGGCCAGACUCCUACGGGAGGCAGCAGUGGGGAAUCUUGCACAAUGGGGGAAACCCUGAUGCAGCGACGCCGCGUGAGCGAUGAAGCCCUUCGGGGCGUAAAGCUCUUUCGGCCCGAACGAUGAUGACGGUACGGGAAGAAGAAGCUGCGGCUAACUACGUGCCAGCAGCCGCGGUAAUACGUAGGCAGCAAGCGUUGUUCGGAGUUACUGGGCGUAAAGAGUGCGUAGGCGGUUCUUUAAGUUCGGUGUGAAAUCUCCCGGCUCAACUGGGAGGGUGCGCCGAAAACUGGAGGGCUCUGAGUGUGG
rnacentral:rRNA from 1 species